rnacentral:rRNA from 1 species
CUCAGAUUGAACGCUGGCGGCAUGCUUUUACACAUGCAAGUCGAACGGUAACAGGUCUUCGGAUGCUGACGAGUGGCGAACGGGUGAGUAAUGCAUCGGAACGUGCCCAGUCGUGGGGGAUAACGCAGCGAAAGCUGUGCUAAUACCGCAUACGAUCUAUGGAUGAAAGCGGGGGACCGUAAGGCCUCGCGCGAUUGGAGCGGCCGAUGUCAGAUUAGCUAGUUGGUGGGGUAAAGGCCCACCAAGGCGACGAUCUGUAGCUGGUCUGAGAGGACGACCAGCCACACUGGGACUGAGACACGGCCCAGACUCCUACGGGAGGCAGCAGUGGGGAAUUUUGGACAAUGGGCGCAAGCCUGAUCCAGCAAUGCCGCGUGCAGGAAGAAGGCCUUCGGGUUGUAAACUGCUUUUGUACGGAACGAAAAGGUCCGGGUUAAUACCCUGGGCUCAUGACGGUACCGUAAGAAUAAGCACCGGCUAACUACGUG